rnacentral:lncRNA from 1 species
AUGAGUGGUUCCUUCUUUUGUGAUUCAGUAGCAACUUGUGUGUGCUUCUCUUUGAUCACUUUGCUAGUUCUUUCUCAUUGUGGUAAUCUGUUUACAUGGCCCUCUUCCCAGGCUCCAAAAGUAGACUCUGUUUUAUUCCUCUUUUUAUUUCCAGUGCCUGGCCAAGUGCCCAGCAUUGGGAGGUGUUCGGUGUAUUGUUUGGGAAGCCAUAUUUUCUGGCAUUGGAAUCAAGGCACCUGGGUGCCCAUGGGACCAUCAACCAUGCUGGGGAUAACACUGCUAAAUGCUCCACACAAUCACGUCUGUGAAGAAGGAAGAUUGAUGGUGGCCCCUGCACGAGGCACAGACAAGACCUGUCAUAGUUGUCAUGUGGUUAUGGCCUACACCCUGUAAAUUAUAGUCAAAGGGCGCCAUUAAAAAGUCUAGCAGAUGAAAGCAACAAAGAAAGUUUCCAGAAGACAACAAGGAAAGUUUCUAGAAGACCAGCAGCUGAAGGUCAUGGGAGUUGUGUGAAUGUGCUCCUUCUAACGGCCCUGGCUCACCUCUGCCUGAGCCUUGGCAGGAUUUGAACUUGGAGCCUGGAAGGCACACCUGGAACUUUCAGUGAAGACGCAUCUGGAGAGGCCUUGGAAUAGUUCAGUAGACAUCACACUGUACCCGAAUUUUCUCUCUUCUCUUCCCCCACUUCCUCCCCAGGAAGGUAAAAUAGACUAAAUGAUCAAUUAGGGAGUUCUGUUGUAGCUCAGCAGUAACAAACCCUACUAGCAUCCAUGAAGAUGUGGGUUUGAUCCCUGGCCUCGCUCAGUGGGUUAAGGAUCCCCAGCAUUGCUGUGAGCUAUGGUGUAAGUCGCAGAUGCAGCUCAGAUCCUGUGUUGCUAUGGCUGUGGUGUAGGCCGGUGGCUGCAGCUCAGAUUCAACCCCUAGCCUGGGAACCUCCAUAUGCUGUAGAUGCAGCCCUGCCUUACUAUACAGCACAGGGAACUGUGUGUGAUUGGGUCACUUUGCUGUACAACAGUAAUUGAAGAAAUAUUGUAAAUCAACUAUUUUUUCAUUUUUUUAAAGCAAUAAAUAAAUAGAUAGAUAAAUGAAUUAACGAAAU